AACGCGAAGAACCUUACCUGGGUUUGACAUGCACAGGACGCCGGCAGAGAUGUCGGUUCCCUUGUGGCCUGUGUGCAGGUGGUGCAUGGCUGUCGUCAGCUCGUGUCGUGAGAUGUUGGGUUAAGUCCCGCAACGAGCGCAACCCUUGUCUCAUGUUGCCAGCGCGUUAUGGCGGGGACUCGUGAGAGACUGCCGGGGUCAACUCGGAGGAAGGUGGGGAUGACGUCAAGUCAUCAUGCCCCUUAUGUCCAGGGCUUCACACAUGCUACAAUGGCCGGUACAGAGGGCUGCGAUGCCGUGAGGUGGAGCGAAUCCUUGUUAAAGCCGGUCUCAGUUCGGAUCGGGGUCUGCAACUCGACCCCGUGAAGUCGGAGUCGCUAGUAAUCGCAGAUCAGCAACGCUGCGGUGAAUACGUUCCCGGGUCUUGUACACACCG
rnacentral:rRNA from 1 species